GGAAGCGCUGCAGUCUGAACAAUAAACUGAGAAGUCGAUGUGGGUACUGCUAGUCUCGUACCGGCGGCUUCAAAUCUGAGAUCAUCGUGGAACCUCAGCAGAUGGCUCUAGUUACCUGGAUUUGCCAACAAGUUUGACAACCUGAGUUGUUCAGUCCAUGGGAUUCAAAUGAUGCAAGAGAACUAAGUCCCUGUCUCAGAGCCUGUGAAGUUGACAACACUAACCAUCACAGGUCAACUUUGAAAUUUAUACAACAUGGAGAAAACUAAAGAGAAAGCUGAAAGAAUUCUUCUAGAGCCUUAUAAGUACUUACUUCAAUUACCAGGUAAACAGGUGAGAACCAAACUUUCACAGGCAUUUAAUCACUGGCUGAAAGUUCCAGAAGACAAGCUACAGAUUAUCAUUGAAGUGACUGAAAUGUUGCAUAAUGCCAGUUUACUCAUUGAUGAUAUUGAAGACAGUUCAAAGCUCCGACGUGGUUUUCCAGUGGCUCACAGCAUCUAUGGUAUCCCAUCUGUCAUUAAUUCUGCUAAUUAUGUCUACUUCCUUGGCCUGGAAAAAGUCUUAACACUUGAUCACCCAGAUGCAGUGAAGGUUUUCACACGCCAGCUUUUGGAACUUCAUCAGGGACAAGGCCUAGAUAUUUACUGGAGGGACACGUACACCUGUCCGACUGAAGAAGAAUAUAAAGCCAUGGUGUUGCAGAAGACAGGUGGUUUGUUUGGAUUAGCAGUAGGACUCAUGCAGUUGUUCUCUGAUUACAAAGAAGACCUAAAGCCACUGCUUGACACACUUGGGCUCUUUUUCCAGAUUAGAGAUGAUUACGCCAAUCUACACUCCAAAGAAUACAGCGAAAACAAAAGCUUCUGUGAAGACUUGACAGAAGGAAAGUUCUCAUUCCCCACUAUUCACGCCAUUUGGUCAAGGCCAGAAAGCACCCAGGUACAGAACAUCCUGCGCCAGAGAACAGAAAAUAUAGAUAUUAAAAAGUACUGUGUGCAGUACCUGGAGGAUGUAGGGUCUUUUGAAUAUACUCGAUACACUCUUAGAGAGCUUGAAGCUAAAGCCUACAAACAAAUUGAGGCCUGUGGUGGGAACCCUUCCCUUGUGGCUUUAGUCAAGCAUUUAAGUAAGAUGUUCACAGAAGAAGAUGAGUAAUGCUAGCCAUUCUUGAUAGGACUCCAUAGCUUCUUUCAGUUGAAAAUGAGGAGUGGCUUCUUCCCAUUUAUCUUUUCAAGUUCUAGUCUCCAAUAUAAUUGAGUAAAUCAGGGUGAUGUGUGUAAAAGUGUUGUGUUAUCAAAAUCCCUUUGCAUAAAAGUACAAAAUUGAGGGCUGGAGAGAUGACUCAGUGAUUAAAAAGCUGCUUUUCCAGAGAACCCAGGUUCAAUUUCCAGGGCCCAAAGUGAAGUUCACCUACAUCUAUAACUCCAUUUCCAGAUAAUCUCCUGGACUUUUAAGGCACCAGGCACACACAUAAUACAUAGGGAUACAAACAUGAAAUAGUCAUACUCAUAAUUUUUUUUUAAUUUUUUAAAAACAAAAUUCAAAGUAUCAAGGGUCAUAUAACACGGGUCAUAAAUGUCAGACACUUAAGUAUGUCAAGCUCUUCCUACUACCCCACACGUUCUGAGCUUGUCAAUAAAAAAGAUUUAUCUUCCAAGAAACUAACUGCUUUCUAACUAUAUGACAUGGAGGGUUGCCAGUUCAUUGAUGACAAUUCAAAACAGGAAUUUCUUAGAAAAGUCUCUUGCUAGCUGGCUAAGAAGACCAAAGAACUGACUGCUGUUUUUCCCUAAAUGAUAAUACCAAGAGUACCUCAGUUUUUUCUCUGAAGGCCUGUAUCAAAGUCUGAAAGGACAGAAUGAAUGCACAGGCACUCUUCCAACCAGCUUGCUUGUUUCUAGGUUGGAUACCCCAAAAAUUGUCCCUUUUGACAAAAGAGGCUCCACUUAAUGAAGUUCAAUUCACAACUUGGUGCCAUUUUUUUUUUUUAAUGUGGUUUUUUGUUGUUGUUGUUUUUUUUGUUUUUUGGUGUUUUUUCUUGUAACAUUUUCUGCCUCAAACUGAUUAGUAUCUGUGUAUAAUGUUUCUCUGAAGGAAGAAAAUAAUAGAAAAGGUAUUUGUUGAGUACACAAGUAAUGCCAGCAUUCCAUAGGUAGAGUCAGGAACAUCAGAAGUUCAAGGUUAUACUCAGCUAUAUGUAAGUUUGAGGCCAGUCUGAACUACAGGGGACAUUGCAUCAAAAGAAAAUAAAAAGAAAAAAACUGAAUUUUUUUUAUUUCUUGAGACAGGUUUCACUAUGCAGUUCUAGCUGAACUAGAACUCAAGGGUCCAUCAGCCUGGCUUCUGCCUCUUUGAGUGCUAGGAUCAAAUGUGUGUCCUACCAUGCCUGGCAAAGACUGUGGAUGCUUAACAGUGAAUUGAGAACCAUUUUAAAGUCGUUUUAUCUAUUCAGUGGUCAAAAUCUUAUUCUUUAUCUGAUCUGUGGUCCCAAAUGUUAAAUCAGAAGAGACCCAGGAGACUGGAGAGGGGGCUCAGAGGUUAAGAACACUGGCUGCUCGUCCAGAGGACCCUGAUUCAAUUCCCAGCAACCACAUGGCAGCUCACAACUAUCUGUAACUCCAGUUCCAGAGGAUCUAAUACUACAUCUAUCAUACAGACAUACAUGUAAGCAAAACACCAAUGCACAUUAAAAAAAGAAGAAGAAGAAUUAUCUGAAGAGACCCAGAACAUAAGUAGCUGAGUUCAUCUAAUGAAAUGACUUUAUUUGCUUAGAUUUGUGCUACAGUAAUGCUUUUCCUCCCUGAGAAAGUCUUGAGAUAUUCUCUUAGAGAAAUGUUGGAUUUUGCUGUGUCAGAGAUAUAUUUUUAAAACAAUAUAAAUUUUCUAAUUUAUGCACCUUCAGAAAAACAUUAAUUUUUUAUAUCAAAUCUGUAAGAAUUGCCAUAACUCUCUUGACUCAGCAAAACGCUUUUUAUUUUAUUUCUUUGAGAUGAAGUCUGGCAUUGUUGUCUAAACUAUGGUUGACCUCAUUACCUUCCUUCAGCCUAUUACUUCCUGUGCCAGCCAGUGCUGCUAGGGAAUGUUUUCCUGUCUGCUGCUGUAGCCACAGCUGCCUUGUCAUUGCAGCCUCUUAUCCUGGGUAACCUGUAUUAUUUGUAUCUUCUUCCUUUCCUAGCAGAAAAGGAGAUUCCUUACCUAGCAAUCUAAUGUCCCUUAUCUUUUUCCAUUCUCUACCUAUCAGAUGUGGAAUCUACCUUUCUUCAAAAUUUUUAUUUCAAAUCUGCCUUUAAGUAAUCUGCCUUUUAUUUCCAAAAAUGUAAACCAGAUAAGGUGGCACAUGCCUAUAGUUGUAGUACUUAGGGGAAAUAGAGAUCAAAAGUUGAGGGUCUGGGCUGGUGAGAUGGCUCAGUGGUUAAGAGCAUCGACUGUUCUUCUGGAGGUCAUGAGUUCAAAUCCCAGCUACCACAUGAUGGAUCAUAACCAUCCGUACUGAGAAACAACCUAUGGGCCAGAGCAAGCAGGGUGAAACAAGAGUGAGAAAGGAAAGGGGGGAAAAGGAAAAGUGAAAAACAAAACAAGUUGAGGGUCCUUAUUGGCUGGCUACAUAGUAGGCUGGGACUAGCCUGGAUUUUGUUAGUUUGCCCUGCAGCCUUAGGCCAAGGAGCUCUUGAGCUCUAGAGGCCUUGUAACAUCCUAGGCUGUAAUUCUCAGGGGGUCCUAAAGCUCAUUUUAAGCUAUGUGCUAAGUGACAGGGGAAAGACAUGUAUAUUUAUACAACUUUAAUCCCAGCACUCAAGAGGCAGAUAUCUUACCAUUUGGUAUACAUAGAGAGUUCCAAGCUAGACAGGGCAACAUUGUGGACAGAAAGAUUGACUGUCUCUCUCUCUCUCUCUCUCUCUUUCUCUCUCUCUCUCUCUCUCUCUCUCUCUCAAAAAAAAAAGUUUCAAAUACAAAAAACGAGGCUCAAAAUAAUGAAUCCUACAGUAGUGUGAGUUCAUACAUACUAUAGUAACCAUUUUGCUUCCUCAGCCCUACCACCCCACUUGGCUAACUGCAGGCUCACUCUGCUUAUCUUAAUUCAUCUUUUUAUAUUUACAUUAUUCAAUAUGUUAAGACUUAGCUAUAAUGUGAAGGCAUUGUUUUACUAUGUACUGCUUGAUUAAAAAAAAAUAAAAUCACUGAUAUAAAUUUCAAUGUUAACUUGUUCAAGUCCACUCCAAACAGUAUUUCCUAACAUUUAAUUGGCACUGACACAGAAGUAUCUAGGAAAUCUUUGUCAUGCUUUUUUUAAAUGUAUGUAUAUAUGUAUGUAUGUAUGUAUGUAUUUUAUGUAUGUAUGUAUUUUUUGUAGCCCUCAUUGGCCUAGAACUUGAUUUAUAGACCUGAACUCAAACAUCUGUGUCAGAGUGCAGGGAUUAAACACAUGUACUAUCA